ACGGGAGGCAGCAGUGGGGAAUAUUGCACAAUGGGCGAAAGCCUGAUGCAGCGACGCCGCGUGAGUGAAGAAGUUAUUCGUAACGUAAAGCUCUAUCAGCAGGGAAGAAAAUGACGGUACUUGACUAAGAAGCCCCGGCUAACUACGUGCCAGCAGCCGCGGUAAUACGUAGGGGGCAAGCGUUAUCCGGAUUUACUGGGUGUAAAGGGAGCGUAGACGGCAUGGCAAGUCUGAAGUGAAAUCCCGGGGCUCAACCCUGGAACUGCUUUGGAAACUGUCAAGCUAGAGUGCAGGAGAGGUAAGCGGAAUUCCUAGUGUAGCGGUGAAAUGCGUAGAUAUUAGGAGGAACACCAGUGGCGAAGGCGGCUUACUGGACUGUAACUGACGUUGAGGCUCGAAGGCGUGGGGAGCAAACAGGAUUAGAUACCCUGGUA
rnacentral:rRNA from 1 species